GGAUGGCGAGUUUGAUCCUGGCUCAGGAGAAACGCUGGCGGCGUGCCUAACACAUGCAAGUCGAACGCUCUCUCCUUCUGCGGAAGGAGAGGGAGUGGCGGACGGGUGAGUAACGCGUGGAUGAUCUACCUUCCAGUGAGGGAUACCGGCGAGAAAUCGCUGACAAUACCGCAUAGGCUCGUGAGUGCAUGCUUACGAGCAAAGCCGCAAGGCGCUGGAAGAUGAGUCUGCGUCCGAUUAGCUAGCUGGUGGGGUAAUGGCUCACCAGGGCGAUGAUCGGUAGCUGGUCUGAGAGGACGGCCAGCCACACUGGGAUUGAGAACGGCCCAGACUCCUACGGGAGGCAGCAGUGAGGAAUCUUCGGCAAUGGGCGCAAGCCUGACCGAGCAACGCCGCGUGCAGGAAGACGGCCUUCGGGUUGUAAACUGCUUUUCUGCGGGACGACGAAGCGACGGUACCGCAGGAAGAAGCCCCGGCUAACUACGUGCCAGCAGCCGCGGUAAUACGUAGGGGGCGAGCGUUCUCCGGAAUGACUGGGCGUAAAGGGCACGCAGGCGGUCGCGUGCGUGUCGGGUGAAAGUUCCCGCGUGAAUCGGGAAGGGUCUCGGCAAACGGCGCGACUUGAGAGCGAGAGAGGGACACGGAAUUCCUGGUGGAGCGGUGAAAUGCGUAGAGAUCAGGAAGAACACCGAGGGCGAAGGCAGUGUCCUGGCUCGUCUCUGACGCUCAGGUGCGAAGGCUGGGGGAGCAAACAGGAUUAGAUACCCUGGUAGUCCCAGCAGUAAACGAUGACCACUAGAGGUUGGACGUAUCGACCCGUUCAGUCUCACAGCUAACGCAUUAAGUGGUCCGCCUGAGGAGUACGACCGCAAGGUUAAAACUCAAAGGAAUUGACGGGGACCCGCACAAGCAGCGGAGCGUGUGGUUUAAUUCGAUGCAACACGAAGCACCUUACCAGAACUUGACAUGCCGUCGCACCGUCCAGAGAUGGGCGUGCCCGCAAGGGACGGCGGCACAGGUGCUGCAUGGCUGUCGUCAGCUCGUGCCGUGAGGUGUUGGGUUAAGUCCCGCAACGAGCGCAACCCCUGUCGUCGGUUGCAGAUGUCCGACGAGACUGCCACGAUCAACGUGGAGGAAGGCGGGGAUGACGUCAAGUCAGCAUGGCCCUUACGUUCUGGGCGACACACACGCUACAAUGGUCGGGACAAAGGGUCGCCAACCCGCGAGGGGGAGCCAAUCCCAACAAACCCGAUCUCAGUUCAGAUUGCAGGCUGCAACCCGCCUGCAUGAAGGAGGAGUUGCUAGUAACCGUGGGUCAGCAUACCACGGUGAAUACGUUCCCGGGUCUUGUACACACCGCCCGUCACACCACGAAAGUCGGCAACACCUGAAGCCGCUGAGCUAACCUCGGAGGAGGAGGCAGGCGUCGAGGGUGGGGUCGGU
rnacentral:rRNA from 1 species